GCCCCUGUGGCCCAAUGGAUAAGGCGUCGGUCUCCUAAACCGAAGACUGGGGGUUCGAGUCCCCCCAGGGGUA